AACGAUGCUCGCUAGGGAUUGGGAGUUUACUCCCAGUUCCGUAAGCUAACGCGUGAAGCGAGCCGCCUGGGGAGUACGAGCGCAAGCUUAAAACUCAAAGGAAUUGACGGGGACCCGCACAACCAGUGGAGCAUGUGGUUUAAUUCGAGACGAACCGAAGAACCUUACCGGGGUUUGACAUUCUAGCUGCACGUCAUUAGAGAUAGUGAUUUCUUCGAGAGUGCUAGAACAGGUGUUGCAUGGCUGUCGUCAGCUCGUGCCGUGGGGUGUUCCCUUCAGUGGGGUAACGAGCGCAACCCCUGCCGUAUGUUAAAUAUUCAUACGGGACUAUCCAAUUUAUUUGGGAGGAAGUGGGGACGAUGUCAAGUCAGCAUGGCCCUUAUGUCCCGGGCGACACACAUGCUACAAUGGCGCAGACAAUGGGUUGCCAAGCCGUAAGGCGGAGCUAAUCCCAAAAACUGCGUCUCAGUGGGGAUUGAGGGCUGAAACCCGCCCUCAUGAACGCGGAAUUGGUAGUAAUCGCGAAUCAGCCAAGUCGCGGUGAAUACGUUCUCGGGUCUUGUACACACCGCCCGUCAAGUUAGUGAAGUUGGGAGCACCCGAAUCCCGAUUGUAUCGGGGCAAGGUGAGACCAGCGACAAGAAUUAAGUCGUAACAAGGUAACCAAGGG
rnacentral:rRNA from 1 species